GAAAUGCGAUAAGUAAUGUGAAUUGCAGAAUUCAGUGAAUCAUCGAAUCUUUGAACGCACCUUGCGCUCCUUGGUAUUCCGAGGAGCAUGACUGUUUGAGUGUCAUGAAACCCUCAAACCCAAGUUUGGGAUUUCGUUCCAUGCUUUGGUUUGGAUUUGGCUGUUUGCCGGUGAUGAACCGACUCAUCUUAAAAGUAUUAGCUGGAUCUGUCUAUAUAACUGGUUUGACUUGGCAGAAUAAGUAUUUUGCUGAGGACAUCUUCGGAUGGCCAUUACCUAGACUACUGUCUGCUAACUAAACCAUCACGUUAAGUGCAUCUUUGGAUGUUACUCAUGGUGUAACUUUGACAUCUGGCCACAAAUCAAGUAGGCCUACCCGCUGAACUUAA
rnacentral:misc_RNA from 1 species